rnacentral:rRNA from 1 species
AUGGGCGUGUCUGUUUCUAGACGAAAUCCGGAUAAAAUGGACAUCUGUUUAGGGUGGUGCCUUGGAGUUGCCCUAGCAACCCCGUCCACGAAAUCAAUCGAAGCAAAAAAAAAAAAAACACACACACACACAAGCCCGUCUCCCGUCUCCUUCUCCCAUAAGACCGAAGCCGAGGGGAGGUUUUAUUACGAACAAACAGGGCAUCAAAGCCAGGACCAGGAAGCCAACACACACAAACACACACACACACACACCAACACCCUCCAAGGCCAAGGCGAUAGCGAGCGCGAGGGCGCCCCCGCCCGCGUUGGAGACUCGACUCGACGAGAGGGGCCGACGCGGGAAGGGAACCGCCGCGAACCCGGGGAGAGCAAGCUCGCGACGCCUCCGCCGGGAAGGACCGUCGCCGCCGCGGAUCUCUCGAUCUGA